GACGAACGCUGGCGGCGUGCUUAACACAUGCAAGUCGAACGGAAAGGCCCUGCUUGCAGGGUACUCGAGUGGCGAACGGGUGAGUAACACGUGGGUGAUCUGCCCUGCACUUCGGGAUAAGCUUGGGAAACUGGGUCUAAUACCGGAUAGGAGCCAUCUUUAGUGUGGUGGUUGGAAAGUUUUUUCGGUGUAGGAUGAGCUCGCGGCCUAUCAGCUUGUUGGUGGGGUAAUGGCCUACCAAGGCGGCGACGGGUAGCCGGCCUGAGAGGGUGUACGGCCACAUUGGGACUGAGAUACGGCCCAGACUCCUACGGGAGGCAGCAGAGGGGAAUAUUGCACAAUGGGCGCAAGCCUGAUGCAGCGACGCCGCGUGGGGGAUGAAGGCCUUCGGGUUGUAAACUCCUUUCGCUAGGGACGAAGCUUUUUGUGACGGUACCUAGAUAAGAAGCACCGGCUAACUACGUG
rnacentral:rRNA from 1 species